rnacentral:rRNA from 1 species
GGACGAACGCUGGCGGCGUGCCUAACACAUGCAAGUCAAGGAGAAUUCCCGACUUGUCGGGAUAGUAAACUGGCGAACGGGUGAGUAACACGUAGGUAAUCUACCCUCGGGAUCGGGAUAACCUCGCGAAAGUGGGGAUAAUACCGAAUAAAGUCUCGGUAUAAUUUGUCGAGAUGAAAGAUGGGGAUCUUCGGACCUAUUACCUGAGGAUGAGCCUGCGCCUGAUUAGCUAGUUGGUAGGGUAAAUGCCUACCAAGGCAACGAUCAGUAGCUGGUCUGAGAGGAUGAUCAGCCACAUUGGGACUGAGAUACGGCCCAGACUCCUACGGGAGGCAGCAGUGGGGAAUUUUGGACAAUGGGCGAAAGCCUGAUCCAGCCAUUCCGCGUGAGUGAAGAAGGCCUUCGGGUUGUAAAGCUCUUUCGGCAGGAAAGAAACGGUCUGUGUUAAUACCAUGGGCUAAUGACGGUACCUGCAGAAGAAGCACCGGCUAACUACGUG